rnacentral:rRNA from 1 species
UACGUAGGGUGCGAGCGUUUAAUCGGAAUUACUGGGCGUAAAGCGUGCGCAGGCGGUUUUGUAAGCCAGGUGUGAAAUCCCCGGGCUCAACCUGGGAAUGGCAUUUGGGACUGCAAGGCUGGAGUGCGGCAGAGGAGACUGGAAUUCCUGGUGUAGCAGUGAAAUGCGUAGAUAUCAGGAGGAACACCGAUGGCGAAGGCAGGUCUCUGGGCUGACACUGACGCUCAUGCACGAAAGCGUGGGGAGCAAACAGG